UUCGGGAUGCCGGCGAGUGGCGAACGGGUGCGUAACACGUGGAGACCUAUCUUGGGGUGGGGGACAACAACUGGAAACGGUUGCUAAUACCGCAUACGCCUUACGAGGGAAAGAUUUAUUGCCCUGAGCGGGUUCCGCGUCGGAUUAGCUUGUUGGUGGGGUAACGGCCUACCAAGGCGACGAUCCGUAGCUGGUCUUAGAGGAUGAUCUGCCACACUGGGACUGAGACACGGCCCAGACUCCUACGGGAGGCAGCAGUGGGGAAUAUUGCGCAAUGGGGGGCAACCCUGACGCAGCGAUGCCGCGUGAGUGAAGAAGGCCUUCGGGUUGUAAAGCUCUUUCAGUGGGGAAGAUGAUGACGGUACCCACAGAAGAAGCCCCGGCUAACUCCGUGCCAGCAGCCGCGGUAAUACGGAGGGGGCAAGCGUUGUUCGGAAUUAUUGGGCGUAAAGGGCGCGUAGGCGGUUUGCCAAG
rnacentral:rRNA from 1 species